rnacentral:tRNA from 1 species
GGGGUUGUGGCUCAGUGGCAGAGCGCUUGCCUGGCAUGUAUGAGGCACUGGGUUCGAGCCUCAGCACCGCA